GAAACGACUGCUAAGACUGGAUAGGAAACAAAAAGGCAUCUUUUUGUUUUUAAAAGACCUUCUUAUGAAGGUAUGCUUAAAGAGGGGCUUGCGCCACAUUAGUUAGUUGGUAGGGUAAAAGCCUACCAAGACGAUGAUGWGUAGCUGRACUGAGAGGUUGAACAGCCACAUUGGGACUGAGRCACGGCCCAAACUCCUACGGGAGGCAGCAGUAGSGAAUUUUCGGCAAUGGAGGAAACUCUGACCGAGCAACGCCGCGUGAACGAUGAAGUAUUUCGGUAUGUAAAGUUCUUUUAUUGAAGAAGAAAAAGUAGUGGAAAAACUAUAUUGACGUUAUUCAAUGAAUAAGCCCCGGCUAACUAUGUGCCAGCAGCCGCGGUAAGACAUAGGGGGCGAGCGUUAUCCGGAAUUAUUGGGCGUAAAGGGWGCGUAGGCUGUUAGAUAAGUCUAUAAUUUAAUUUCAGWGCUUAACGCUGUCUUGUUAUAGAAACUGUCUUGACUAGAGUGAGAUAGAGGCARGCGGAAUUCCAUGUGUAGCGGUAAAAUGYGUAAAUAUAURGAGGAACACCAGARGCGUAGGCGGCUUGCUGGGUCUUUACUGACGCUGAGGCACGAAAGCGUGGGUAGCAAACAGGAUUAGAUACCCUGGUAGUCCACGCCGUAAACGAUGAGUACUAAGUGUCGGGGUAAAACUCGGUACUGAAGUUAACACAUUAAGUACUCCGCCUGAGUAGUACGUACGCAAGUAUGAAACUUAAAGGAAUUGACGGGACUCCGCACAAGCGGUGGAUCAUGUUGUUUAAUUCGAAGAUACACGAAAAAUCUUACCAGGUCUUGACAUACUCUGCAAAGCUAUAGAAAUAUAGUGGAGGUUAUCAGGGAUACAGGUGGUGCAUGGUUGUCGUCAGUUCGUGUCGUGAGAUGUUAGGUUAAGUCCUAAAACGAGCGCAACCCUUGUCGUUAAUUGCCAGCACGUAAUGGUGGGGACUUUAGCGAGACUGCCAAUUAAACAUUGGAGGAAGGUGAGGAUUACGUCAAAUCAUCAUGCCCCUUAUGAUCUGGGCUACAAACGUGAUACAAUGGCUGUGACAAAGAGUAGCUGAAACGCGAGYUUUUAGCCAAUCUCAAAAAAGCAGUCUCAGUUCGGAUUGAAGUCUGUAACUCGACUUCAUGAAGUUGGAAUCGCUAGUAAUCGCGAAUCAGCAUGUCGCGGUGAAUACGUUCKCGGGGUUUGUACACACCGCCCGUCAAAUCACGA
rnacentral:rRNA from 1 species